AAGCCUGAGUGAUGCUGAAUACCACAACACUAAAGAGGAGAACAAGUCAGUUACUCCCGGCUUCAGGACUGUUCUGUGCGUUUUACAUACAGCAUUAUCUCACUGUUAUUCUUGGAGGGAGGUUUUAUUAAUAACUUACUUUUCCAAAUGAAGUAACUGAGGUUUAGAGAGGUCGAUCCACUUUCUCAAGGACACACAGCUAGGGAAUGUAAGAGCCAGGAUACAAACCCUGAUCUUCUGGCUUAGAGCCUGAAUCCCUAAAGAAAAAGCAAGUUGAAUGUUUUUAAACAUUUCAAGCCCCUGCUAUGUGUAAGACAUUGAGGUAGGUGGCAACAAAAAUAAGGACACUUGGCUGGGCCUUUGAGAAGCUGAGUGAGGACACAAGACUUCAGUAAGACUCUCAAGAAAGUGAGAUGUGAAAAGUACCACAUACAAGUUCCCCCAGUACUAUGGGAGCAGCAGGAGAGAGGAGGGGUUUAGUGUGGAGGGUGGGGAGGGAGGGAACUGGGGGAGGAAGCACAGAGGCCAAGGAAUAGAGAAGGCUGGUCUUCAGCCAUGAAGAGGAACUUUAGUGGAGGGCAGGGGGCCAUUCCUGGAGGCCAGUAGAGCAGGGGCAAAGACAUGACAGCAGGAGAUGUAUCCUGCUGCCGGCCAUGGAGAGCAAUGGGGAGAAGCAGGAGGGGUGGUGCCGGUGCUGGGCUAAGCUGUGAAGGCUUAGAAAGCCACCUUUGCUCUAUAAAAAUGGGGAGCCAUUGAAGGUCUUUGAGCAGAGGUGAACAUCAUCUCUACCAGUUCUAUAGGUAGCAAAACAUCCUGGAAACCGAAGCGAAAAACUAGAAGCAUGGGGUCAGGUUACAUUGCAUGAUCUUUUACAGCGCUUCCUUUAGAAUAUUUUUUUGCCACCUACAGGUAUUACUAUUCCCAAAAAAAAGAAAAAAGAAAGAAAGAAAGAGAGUACAUUUUCAAAGGAGAGAGGGGAGCAGGGAGUCAGGAGGCAAGGCAGAGAGAUGUGGGAGGCUGCAGCAGGAAGGAGCAGUAUUGGUGGGUCCCCACUGCCCCCCUGUCUGCUGGCCCUCCAGCUGUUUGAGUGAUGGUUGAGGAUGGCAACCGCCUCAGAGGUCUGCACCCAGCUGAGCACGCGGGGCUGCAGGGGGUUCGGGACCCUCCUCUUGCCUGGAGCCUUAGCCUUCCCUGACCAAUGAGGCUUCAGCCCGUCCCUACUCCUCGCAGAAGUGUGUCCUCACCAAUGUCCUCCCUACUGGCCACGCAGUGGGGCCACAGGCUGAUCUUUAAAUCCUCUCUGAGCUCAUUGGAAACCAUUAUCUCAGAGGCCUCUCUGCAUCCUGGAGCUCAGACUGUCCCUAUAGGAGGACCAGGCACUGUGCUAGGUGCUUUACAGGCACUGAAUAUAAUCCAACAAAAAAAAUGUGUUGCUCCCCUUCAUCUGACAGAUGGGGAAAUGGGGGUUCAGUGGCUUGUUCCACCAAGCUCUCACAGUGAGAGGGGUAUUGUCACCUGGGGCAGUGGGGGGGGGGAGCUCCCCUCAGAGCCCAUCACUGGGCUGUACUGCCUCAGGCUCUUUGGGAGAAAAGUCUGUUCCUCCACUCCCCCUAAUCUCUCACCGUUGGCCUGGAAUAGGGGCUUCAGUCACCCCCCUGAGCCAUUUCCUCUGCCUGGGUGCCUCUCUUCCCUUCUCCCCCCCCCACAGGGCGAACUCCUAUUGCACCUGUGAAGCCCAGUGGACCCAUUACUUUGUCCCCAGAGUCUCAGACUGCACCUCCUCUCCCCUGAUCUGUGUUCCUGUACAACUACUCUGGGAGGGGAGGGAAGGCUCUGGGGACGUGACUGGGACGUGAGUUCCAGCCCAGAGAUGAAGGAACAGUCAGCUUGUUCUGAGCGCUCAGAAGGACAGGCCUGGGGCAGGGUGGACGUGAGAGGGAGGAUGGCGCCAGCUCACCCAGGGAAAGACGGGUCAUCCCGCCCCUGGGAUUAUUUGGCUUAGAGGCCAGAGGAGGACAAGUUCCAGAAGGAGAGAGAAGCAAAGAUCCAGGCUGCCCAGCAAGGACUGGCUGGUGCCCCACUAGCCCAAAGACCACACAGCCUUUUUCUGACUGGCCUCUCCUGGCUCUCUGUGGCAGGGCUCAGGGUGGGAAGCUGUCUUCUGUAUACAGAUGCCCUUAGAGCCCAGGGGCCCCCACCCCAGGUGGGGGGGGGGGACAGAGCAGCAUGGGCUCCUUGUAAACUCAGAGAGCCGCCAGUGCCCAGAACAGUGAAUGGCACACAGUAGGCACUUAAGCGUUUGUUGGAUGAAGAAAUGAAUGAGUCACUGACCCCAGCCCAGGAAGGAGGAGGGCCAGCAGCCUUGAAGUCUCUCUGUCUGCUCCCUUGUGAAGCAGGACCUCCUCCCUUGGAGCCCCUCAGGUGCAGGGUGGCUGGGGCAGGCUCUGGGGUGGGGGAAGCAAUGGGAGGGGAUGGGGAGAACCACAGCCAAGUGGAGCCACUCAGGAGGGAAGCAGACAGUGAGCCAUGUUUUUGGUGAAACACCCUUUCUGAUGCCUGGGCACAGGCAGUGCCUGAGGCCGUAAGGAACCUUCAGGUACCCCCAGGUGAGGACCUCCCACAAUUCCAUAGGCGAUAGCAUGAUGCAAUUGUUAGUGCCAGGAACUCUGGGUUUAAACGUUUGUUUCUGGGCACCAACUCCACCCCUCACUAACCAGACCAGUUGCCUCAGUUUCCCUAUAUGCUAAUAGCACCACCUGAUGCACAGGUUUGCUAGAAAGUUCACCUGAGAGUUGCUGGAAGGUUCACCUGAGAGGUGCCAGCUCAGCACAUUCUGUUUACCACUGUUAUAAACAACAGCGGGGAACCGGGAGACAGCUGAGCAGCCAGGCCCUGGGCUCUAGGCCCACCGUGCCACUGACUUAACAAGGUGACUUCGGACAAGGCCCAGCCUCUCUCCAGGCCUCAGUUUCCCCAUUUGUACAGUCAGGCCCUGCACACACAGGAAGUCUUGACCCUUCCUCAAGCCCAGGCCAGAAUGCACACACAGCUGCCUCUCCCAGCCCUGCCCAUAGGCCCUGGGACUGCCCAGAGACACACAGGCACCAGCUCACUUGAGCCCAUGCGCACCGGUACACACAGAGGCGCCCACACACACACGGGCACAUACAUGUGCCCACGGGCACACAGACAGUUCACACAAGCAGACACCCAGGCAAACAGUCACAGAUACAGGCAUGUAGACACAUACUCAUACACAUUCACACACAGACCCGACAGGCACAACCCACACUCACACUCGGCCCUCCCCUCCUCAGGGCCCCGCCCCUGCCCACGGCACCCACACCCACUCACAAUCACGCACACACUCACUCACAGACACCCCACGUCUGCUGUGUACCAACUGUUGGUGCAGGUGGGGCUGGGAGAGAGAGGGAAAAAACCCAAGACUCAGCCGGGAAAGAGGGGUGCGGGGGGGUGGGCGGGCGAGGGAAAUGACAGCCCGCGGUCCCCCUCGAGUCCCGGCUCAUGAAUAUUAAUGCCGCGGUAAUUAAAAUGCAGGGACGCAGCAGGAUGGAUGCGGCGCUGCCUCCGGAGCGCCGGGGAGCGCGGCUUCUUCGCAGGCGGGUGGAGCCGGCGCCUCGAGGGCGAACGCCGGAUGGGGAUUCGCGGCCGGCAUUCGGGGCUGGGGGCCGCGGGGCGGCAGUUUCCGCGCUGCUGAGCGGGGCGCCCCGUCCCGCGCUCCCGCCGCCGCCCCAAGCCCGGCUGCCCGCCAGGCCGCCUUUCCCGGAGCCGGCCCCCUCCCGCCUCGGGCCCGGUGAUGUCAUUUGCACAAAACUUUCCGCUUCCCGGCCCGUCUCGGGGGCCUGAGUCAUCGUCGCCCCCGGCCCGGCCGCGCCGUCUGUUUGUGCAGAGCUAGGCCCCUUUGGGCCCGGCCUGACGUCAGGCUGGCAGGGCCGGGAACGGCGUGGGGCCCACCAGCCCGGAGCCGCGGGGCGCUGGGGGACGCGACGUCCCUCCUGGGGGCUGUGGAGCAGGCCGCCGGGAAGGGCACCCUCUCGGGUUCCAGAUUCAAAUGUGAAGUCACUUUAUGCGGAUUGCUUGACCUUGCGCAAGUCCUGUGAGCUCUCUGAACUUCAGUUUCCUCAUCUGCCACUAAGCAGAUGCUCAAAAAAUCGUCACAGACUCAAAGAGUGACUGUGCGGCUGGGUAAGCCCAGGCCCAGAGAUGGAAAGGGACUCUGCCAAGGUCACACAGCAGUCCAGUGCAGACCCAUCCGUCCAUGAACCUUCAGUGCCACCUACUCUGCCAACAUGGGAGAUGGAGCAGUCUGUCACUGUGCCCUUCUUCAUGAUUGGCAUGAGACAGUUGGUCAGACUGCCUGGGGAUUAGUCCUGCCCCUCCUGAGAAAUCAGGGCCACCUGGAAACAGCACCUCUCAGCAGAAGCAUCAUCUUGUAUUGGGUAGGAGUCAGGGUUCAGAAAACACACAGGCCUGGGGUCAAAUCCCAGCUCUGUGAUUUUCUUGCUGUGUGACCUUGGGAGGUGGCUUCGCUGCUCUGAGCAGGUUUCCUCUUAUGAAAACCCAUAAUCAUAACUGUACCUCUUGCAGUGAAGAGGCAACGUGGAACGCGGGGCCCACGUAUGCCUGGCACUUGGCAAGUACUCAGGGAAGGAAUUAGGAGGGGCAGGAGUUACAUUAUUCACUUUUUUUACAGCUGAGAAAAUAAGCGGAGGAGGCUCAGCGAGGUGAGGCUGGUUGCCCAAGGUCACACAGCCCGUAGCGGGGGCUGGCCCAAGCCUAGCUGGCCGACUUGUGCUCCAACCACUGAGCUUUCCAGCCUCGGGCCGACCCCCAAGUGACCUCUGGGACCCCUGGGCGCCUGUAGGCCUAUGAGGCGGCGGAGGCCGCGGCCCGGCCCGGGCCCGGCCCGUGGGGCGGAAAGGGUUAACGGGCUCCGCCGCAUUGGGCCGGCCUCCGGGGGAACCAGCCAAUGGGCGUGCGCCGCGAUGAGGUAAUGCCGGGACCGCGCGGAGUGGGCGGAGCCGGCGGGGACCCGGUCUAGCUCGCUUUCCUUCUCUCACCACCCACCCCUCACCUUUGACCUUCAUGUCCCCCCAACCUCGCCGCCCACAGCCGUACACCCGCAGACACACACACAUACACCCUCCCCGGGCUGCAGCUGAGUGUCUUGGGCGGCCCUGAGUCCCUUAAGGUCUGCAGCAGGACCCCGGAUUUGCCUUGCCUCUUCUGGGCCUCAGUUUCCCCUUUUGCAAGGUGGGAGUCGAUGGUCGCUAAAUGCCUGAUCAGCGGCGGACAUCCUUGGGUCUCAGGACAGUUUUUAGCCCCUCCCUGACCCUGGCCCACACUUGAGAGGGCGCCGCCCUGGCCCUCCUCAGGCGAUGCCCACAGCGGGCAAGGAGUCUCCAGGCCAAGCGGAAGGAAGGAACCCCACGGGCCCGGUCACACCCUCCACGUGGCCCCGACUACGAGCCUCUUCCCAUCCUCUGGGUGCACAUGAAGGCUCACUGGCGCCGUUCCCUCUGGACACCCAGAGGGCACCCGUGGUUCUGCAUUUGCUCCAGCUUGGAGCCCUUGGAGGGCCAGCAAACCCUCCUGUGAGGCCUCACACCUUGCUGGAUUCUGGGCUGAGCUGGGAGCUCUGGGGUGCAUCCUGUUCCUACCCGCAUCUUCCUAGGCAGCCCUGGAUGGGAACUGGAGGAAUCAACAGAGGAUUUAGGAGAGGUACAAGGAAGAACUUCCUGGUGACUCUGACCAUCAGGCAUGGAUGGGGUGGUUUCAGGAGAUGCAGGGAUGGCAAGUCAACUUUCACAAGUUCUGAGAUCCGUUCCUGCCCCAACUCAGAUCGGCAACUCUGGAAGAUUCCCCAGAAGCUAGAGUGACACCUCACUGGUAUCAGAGCCAAAGCCUUGGUGGUGAUCCUAAGACAGUUAGGAUGACACUGAAUGUUUGCUCAGCUUCUGCCUCUCCAAUGACAACUCUGUGCACACAUUCACUUAAAUAAUCCCCCCAACAGUCCAAUGAGAAAGGGAACACAGCCCAUGAUUUGUCCCAUUUUACAGAUGGGAAGACUGGGGCCCAGAGAGGUUAAGUAACUUGCCCAGAGUCACAGAGCCAGCAAGUGGAGGAGCCUAGAUUUGAAGCCCCAGAGGCUGGCUCCAGAGCUCCAAUAAUUACCAGUAAUAGGAACAUUAAAUGCUUACUGUAUGCCUAGGGCUCAGAUGAGCACUUUACAUGUACUAAAUUCUUUAACCUCAAUGCUGUUAGAUAGGAUCCAAGGAUUAUGCCCAUUAUACAGAUGAAAAGAGAAUAGCCCCAUAUAUUUUAUGCCAACUAAAAAACAAAAACAAAAACAAAAAGACAAAAAAAACAAUAGCCUAGGGUUGCUGCAUGAGGCCAGAUGGUGUCCUAACUCUUGUCAUAAAGGCCUAGUUAGUAAUCCAAGCCUUCGUCCCAGAGCUGUUUGCUAUGUGAAAAGGCUUAGCACAGAGUAGAUGCUCAAUAAAUGGUGCUAUUCCAUUCCCCACUUCUUCCCUCUGGGCUUUCUUUUACAACUCCUGGGCACACAGCUCCAGCCAGACUGGGGGAGACACAGGCCACUGUGGGACUCCUAAGGCCCCUUAAGACCAUAGCCUAGAGGGCACUGGCAAGGCAGCCAGUUUCAGUCUGGAGGAGGAAUUAUGAUGAUGGGAGGGACACAGGGCCUCUGGAAGCCAACGGGAGGGGGCCUAAAUCCAAGAAGUCUUUCUGGAGGAGGCUGAAUCAAUACUAUGCCCUGGAGGAUGAGUAAGAGGCAGCCCACGAUGGGAGGGAAAGGUAUUCCUAUCAGAGGAACGCACACAUGAGGUCCCAAAGUGAGAGAGGAACAGAGUCAUCUCAGAGGAACAGAGAGCGCUAAGCAGUUUUGUCAGGCUGAACAGGUGCAGGGAGUGCGGGCAGACAUGAGGCCAGAGCCUGGCUGAUCAGCAAGGGCCUCGAUUGCCAGGCUGGCUGAGAGUGGGCGGGAACCUGUCCCAAGGCAGAGAGCCUGGUUAGGAGAUUGCUGCAGGAGACAUGGAGGAUGUGGACUGGGCAAGCUGAGUGGAUGGGAGAGGCCCUAGGGAGUUAUAAAAAGAUCACCUGCUCUGAUGUUGGCGGUUGGCUUACAAGUUUUUCUUCCAUGCCAUCCCAGACACAGGAAACCUCAUGCACACAAGCAUGGAGGUAAGGGUAGCCAGGUGUGCUCCUGGAGGAAGACAGUGGGCCUCCAGAAGCAAGCUGUAGGGGACAGCAAGGGUUUGGCAGCUCAGGUAGGAAGAUUAACUGGAAAAUUAAUCUGGAAGCUUUGCAGGAUGGAUUACAAGGGCAGCCCUGGAGGCAGGGAGGCUGGGAGGAGGCCGUUGCUGGUGGGGAGGUGGGGGUCCCUUCCCCAGGCCCUGUGCCCUCCUCCGGCCCGUCCUCCCUUCUGCAGAGUCCUUUUGAUUCUGCACCUACUCCCCCUCCGUGGGCCACCUCAUGCGUCCACCGCCAGCUGGAGACGGAAGGAGGUGCUCGCCGUUCACUGCUCAUCCAGGCCAUCGACGGAAACGUCAGGAGGUCAAGCCCAUGCCUGAACACUUUCCGGCAGCCGACACCGGCAGAUCCAUUGGUGAGCUUCGCGCUGCCACCUCAAGGCCUGCCUCAGAGCAAUGCAGCCCUGGGCCCGGGUCACGGCUUCUCUGGACUUGACUUGGAAUGUGCAGCAUGGGCCUAACUGGGAGCUGUGGGCAAGUGGAGACAGCACCUCUUGUCUGCAGACUGUGAAAUUGUGCGCUGUGUAUCUGAUACAGGAAUUUAUAGGCUGGUCAAGAAGGAAAACAGGAGCAGGCACGUGAUACAAGGCAGGCAGGCAUGGUAGAAUAGCACUAAGGGUGCAGACCCGGAUCACAGAGGCCCACCAUCCCUAACCCCAAAUCCUUGGGCAGAUGGUUCCAGAACUCAGAACUUUCCCAGCUGUAGAAAGAUCAUAUGACAUAUACCACAUAUUUCCUAACACCCCCCGUGAGGUAUGUGGCUAUCACUGUAGUCAGACACAUUGAUAAGGCUGCAGCAAAGCGUAUGAACAAAGAUUAUAAAUACCCUCUGCAUCUCAGCUUUCUCAUCUCUAAAAUGGGGCGAUGGUGAUGCCCUGAGAAUCUGCUGUCUCCUAUGACACCAGCUGGCCAGCUGCGCCUCAGACACAGGCUCUUGUCCUGCCCCACGCCCUUUGCACCUGCUGCUCUUCUGAAUAUUCUUCUCCAGGCAUCUCCUGAGGUGGCGCUCUCACUUCCUUCCAAACUGCUCAAAGGCCCCGCCCUCCGCGAGCCUUGCCAGGCCGUCCUGUCUCCUCUGACAUGUAAUUUAAUCAGCUGCUCAUUUAUAAUGUCCCACUCUCCCACAGUGGAAUCUGAGGGCAGGACUCUGUUCUGCCACCUGCUACGCCUAGGACAGUGCCCGCACAGGUGGACACUCCGGUUUUGUCUGUUACAUGUACCUGGCACCUCAGAAAGGCUCAAUAAAGCCCAGCUGGUACCAUCACAUUGUUGUUAUUGAUGCUGCUGCUAUUAUUAUCAUCCGUGUUACAUUCCUGAGCUGAUCCCAGACUUUGGUUCUCCAGCCUGUGAAAUGGGCAUCCUGGGACUGAGGCAUCAGCCACCAGAAGCCAGUUGAGUCCCUGCAGGAGAGACAAAGAAUGCUGCCUGCCCCCGAGGGAGCCUGUGCCCCUCACUGGAUAGAGGCUGGGGGGAAGCUUGGAGAACGCCAGCCCUAGUGAGCAGGGCUGCCAGAAGGCCAUACAUAAUUCAUUGCCAAAUGGGGCCGCAGGCGGCUCUCUGUGCUGGGCGCUGGGGGCUCGCUUGGAGCCUGGCACCUUGCUGACUGCUCCUCACACGUCGCUUCAUUGCAUCUUCUCGGAUUUGCAGGGUGUGAUCCUUUCCCUCCCACUAUUUUCCCCUGGGGGAUCCUGAGGUUCAGAGGCUGGGCCACUGUGGAAGGCAUGCAGUUUCUCAGCGGCCAAGUAGGGCCUUAAGUCAGCAGAUUCGGACCCAGCAGCCCUCAGUUACUGCCUCUCUGUGGAGGGAACAGGCUGCCUGGGAAGGCGACGGGAGGGACAGAAGAGGACCCCCUGCAGGCAGAGUAGGCUGAGGAUGGGCUGGAUGGCAGCGGGGCUGAGGAAGGCUCAGAGUCCGCGUGUCCCUGGCCCCCAGCUCACCUCCCCACCGUGCCCUCCUCUCCUUGCAGUGCUCCCUGCUGUGGCCGCCAAGAGUGCUGGCUCUGGAGUUUCAGGGUUCAGUUUGCACAGCUGUAAAAUGGGAACAACAACCCAGGCCCGGCGACUAUGAGGCCGUGCAGACGGGGUGCGGGCUCAAAGCGACUUCUGCGGGGGCUGUAGGGGUGCAGGGGGCCAGUCCCGAAAGGUUACGUACUCUAUGAUUCCAUUUAGAUAAUUUUGAAAUAACAAAAUUUUAGAAAUGGAGAACAGAUUAAACAUUGUGAGGCAUUAGGGAGGGGCUGGACGGGGGCGUGGUUAUAAAAGAACAGGAGGAUCCUUGUGGUGACAGUGCCAUUCUGCACCCGGCUGCGAGGGCGGAGACACAAGCCUGUGAUACAUUGCACAGGCCUGAAUCCACAUACAAAAGGGUGUGAGUGAAGCAGAACCUGGGUGAGGCUGCUGGAUUGUGUCAGCAUCGCUACCCUGGUUGUGAUACUGUCCUGUAGUUCUAGGCAUUUCCAUUUGGGGGAAACUGGGGCCAGGGGUACCUGAAGCCCUCGUAUUACUUCUUACACCUGCACGUCAAUUUGCAACUAUCUCAAUAAAAAUUUCGAUUAAAAA